GACGAACGCUGGCGGCGUGCUUAACACAUGCAAGUCGAACGGAAAGGCCCUGCUUUUGUGGGGUGCUCGAGUGGCGAACGGGUGAGUAACACGUGAGUAACCUGCCCUUGACUUUGGGAUAACUUCAGGAAACUGGGGCUAAUACCGUAUAGGAGCUCCUGCUGCAUGGUGGGGGGUGGAAAGUUUCGGCGGUUGGGGAUGGACUCGCGGCUUAUCAGCUUGUUGGUGGGGUAGUGGCUUACCAAGGCUUUGACGGGUAGCCGGCCUGAGAGGGUGACCGGCGACAUUGGGACUGAGAUACGGCGCAGACUCCUACGGGAGGCAGAAGUGGGGAAUAUUGCACAAUGGGCGGAAGCCUGAUGCAGCAACGCCGCGUGCGGGAUGACGGCCUUCGGGUUGUAAACCGCUUUCGCCUGUGACGAAGCGUGAGUGACGGUAAUGGGUAAAGAAGCACCGGCUAACUACGUG
rnacentral:rRNA from 1 species